UUUCUCACUUUUCAAGAAGUCCAGUGUGGGGUUUUUUUUUGUGCUUUCAGCACAUAUGCUGGAGCGUUUAUGGCCAGUGUAAAAAUAUGUACAUUUAAUUUGAAAGUAAACUGUCCCUUUAAGACUUGGCUGUGUACUUGUGCUCAACAACAGGAAAAAGAAACAUAAUAAAUGAGUGUCCUCGAGCCUCACCUGCUCCGGCUGAUAAACACAAGCCGUCAAUGCAGGGUGAGGUGGCGGGAUUAGGCGGGGACAUCCUUCAAAAGGUCUCUGUCUUGUUCACAGAGGCAGGGUCAACAGGAGCACCGGGGAACGGCCGAGCUCGUCCUGAAUCUGAGACGAGGUGACAGGGGAGGAGUGGCAGGUGAUAAGCCCGCACGGUGAAGGGCAUUCGUGUUGGUGUGUUGUCAGAGAUAAUGGGUUCAAAGGAUGAGUGGAGACGAGGUGGCUAGCCAAAAUUGAAGAAAAUGUUAUGGUAACAACAGGAGGAAGUUUGCUGGAUAAGAGGAAACAGCCCAAAGCCCAAAUCAUCCAAAGGAUGAAAAAGCAGUCAUAGCUUUUAUGGGCUUAUUCAGAUAAUAGUUGUAAAGAAAAAUGACUUGAGCAGAAUGUGAUGAAUUCAGCUUAAGAUGGAUGAGACUGCAGAAGGAGAAGACUCCUGUGCAACGGC